GCAGAAUCCCGCGAACCAUCGAGUCUUUGAACGCAAGUUGCGCCCGAGGCCAUUCGGCCGAGGGCACGCCUGCCUGGGCGUCACACUAAACACGCUCCCACCCCCUCAUCGGGGAGUUGGAUGCGGCAUGUGGCCUCCCGUCGCGCAAGGGGCGGUGGGCCAAAGAUAUGGCUGCCGGCGUAUCGUGCCGGACACAGCGCGUGGUGGGCGACCUCGCUUUACUUACCGCAGUGCAUUCGGCGCAUAGCCGACGUGAUGGCCUCGAAGGACCCUAUGAACGGUGCGCACGACGCUCCGACCGCGACCCCAGGUCAGGCGGGACUACCCGCUGAAUUUAAGCAUAUAAAUAAGCGGAGGAGAAGAAACUUACAAGGAUUCCCCUAGUAACGGCGAGCGAAACGGGAACAGCCCAGCUUGAGAAUCGGGCGGCUAUGCUGUCCGA
rnacentral:rRNA from 1 species